rnacentral:rRNA from 1 species
AUUGAACGCUGGCGGCAUGCCUUACACAUGCAAGUCGAACGGCAGCACGGGAGCAAUCCUGGUGGCGAGUGGCGAACGGGUGAGUAAUACAUCGGAACGUGCCCAGUAGUGGGGGAUAGCCCGGCGAAAGCCGGAUUAAUACCGCAUGAGACCUGAGGGUGAAAGCGGGGGAUCGCAAGACCUCGCGCUAUUGGAGCGGCCGAUGUCAGAUUAGCUAGUUGGUGGGGUAAAGGCCUACCAAGGCAACGAUCUGUAGUUGGUCUGAGAGGACGACCAGCCACACUGGGACUGAGACACGGCCCAGACUCCUACGGGAGGCAGCAGUGGGGAAUUUUGGACAAUGGGGGCAACCCUGAUCCAGCAAUGCCGCGUGCAGGAAGAAGGCCUUCGGGUUGUAAACUGCUUUUGUCAGGGAAGAAAUCCUCUGGGUUAAUACCUCGGGGGGAUGACGGUACCUGAAGAAUAAGCACCGGCUAACUACGUGCCAGCAGCCGCCGUAAAAC